UCUGAAUCAGGAACCAGAUUUCAGAAAGUAAUAGCAUACAUUCGGAAGCUCACUGGAUGCAAUGCACUGGCCCAGGCUUUAUAUCAACUUGUGUGCAGAGGUGAAUUUGGGACCAGGAACCAGAAGAUUGCAGUUGUUGAAGGACUGUAUUUACUCUUCAGAGAACUGCUGCCCAGUCAGGCCAAAA